CAAUAUCUUGAAACGCCUGCUUCUCUUGUAGCUGAUUUUAAACACGGAGGGAAGGAUUGGUGUGCAGACAGGAGGAGCUGCCCCCCCUCCGCUACUGUGUGGGACGAGAACCGAUGUCAAAGCAGAAACAGCCUCGGAAAGUGCGGGGUCCUCAGCGACGGGCCCUGCUUGCCAGGCGGCCUUCAGCAGGGUGGCAGCAGGCAGGGCAUCUGUGCCAUCUUCAGCCACUGAAUCGUUUACAAGUUUUCGAGGUGGAGACGGCGGGAAGCCGUUUGACAGCCCCGGCUGAUCUUCCCUCGCACUGUCAUCCCGCGUGACUGGCUGGAAGCUGGCCUGAUGGGUCAAGGGAGGGGAAGGAAGGCGGGAGAUCAGUAGUGACGGAGAUUCCGUUUGGGCAAAGCCUGUCAAUACCACCAGUAUCAGGAAUGAGAGAUGAUGCCCAGUCUACAGAUAUUGGAUGGAAACAUACAGAAUGGUAUGAACCUCACGGUCAAAAUUUCAACAAGUUAGCUGUGGGCAAACGGACAGAUUUCCUUGAAAGACACAAAGUACCAAAGCUCAUUCAAGAAGGAAAAGAUAACCCAAGUAGCCCUUUUUCCGUUAAAAAAAUUUUUUUGAAUUAAUAGUUAAAAACUUCUGCACAAAGAAAAUUCAGGCCCGGAUGGUUUCAUUGGAAAAUUAUACCAAAAUUCUAAGGAAGAAAUUACACAAUUCUACCCAAAUUCUUCUGGGAAAUGGAAGAGAAAGCAUGUCUCAACUCCUUCUGUGAAGAGUUCCCCUCAUCCAUCACCUGGACGCCCAAACUAAAUGUUGUAAGAAAAGACAACUACAAGCCAAUCUCUGUUAUGAAUAUAAGAGUAACACUUUUAAACAAAAAUUGAAUCCAGUAAUAUAUACGUAGGAUAACAUAUCGCAACCGAGGCAGGUUUAUGCCGGGAACACGAGGUUGGCUUACCACUUAAAAAGCAGUCAGCGUAAUUCACCACAUUACCAAGCGAGAAAUGAAAAACCACACGAUCAUCUCAAUAGAAGCUAAGACACCUUUUGUAGAAUCCAACAUCUGGUUUUGGCAAAAAGUCUCAGCAGACUAGGAGUCAAAGGGAACUUCCUCGGGAUCGAGGACACCUGCAGACACCCAGCGUUCGUGUCCUCCCAGGUGGAGCGGGACUGAUGCCUCCAAGAACAGGGACAGCACCCCCCCCCCCCUCUGUUAGCAUCACGCCAGAAGGCUGGCCAGCGCAGUGAGGCAAUAAAGAGAAACCAAAGCUAUGCAUACUGGAAAUGAAGACCUGAAAUGGUCUCUAUUCACAUACAACACGGUAAUCAGUAGAAAAUGUGGUGGAGUCUGGAGUCUACAAGGAAGCUGCUAGAAUAGUGAGUUUAGCAAGGUUGUGGAAUGAAUACAAGGUCUGUAUGUGAAAUCAAGUUUUUAAUAUGGUGGCAACGAACAAUUGGAAGCAGAUUUUAUUUUAUUUUUUUUAACGUUUAUUUUUGAAAGAGAGUGUGAGUGGGGGAGGGGCAGAGAGAGGGCGACCCUGAAUCCGAGGCAGGCUCCAGGCUCCGAGCUGUCGGCACAGAGCCCGACGCGGGGCUCGAACUCGCGAACCGCGAGAUCGUGACCUGAGCCGAAGCUGGAAUUGUUUAACUGACUGAGCCCCCCAGGCGCCCCAGAAACUCAACUUUUAAAUGGCCAUUUACAAUACCAGCAAAAAGUGUGAAAUACUUAGGAAUAAAUCUGAUGGAGGAGAAGCAAGACUGGUUCACCGAACGUAGCAAAGCAUCUCUAGAAGAAAUGGAAGGUCUGAGGACGGGCGAGGCGUCGAGUUGCCCGUUCCCCAGGUCGUCCGUAGACCCAGUGGAUCCCAGGCGAGGUCUCAGCCCGCUGGUUUGUGGAAACUGACCAACCGGUUCUCAAAUUCGUGUGGGAGCGCUGAGGACCACAGUGUCCCACGGGAGCUGA
ensembl:lncRNA